CGGCAUCAGCCCAGAUUUGGAAUCCGGCCCCCGGGCCCGAGUUGUAAUCUGCAGAGGAAGCCCCGGGCGCGGCGCCUUCCGAGUCCCCUGGAACGGGGCGCCGGAGAGGGUGAGAGCCCCGUACGGUCGGACGCCAGACCCCCGUGGGGCCCCUUCGAC
rnacentral:rRNA from 1 species